UGCCCAGGGUCACACAGCUAGUAAGUGUCAAGUGUCUGAGGUCGGAUUUGAACUCAGGUACUCCUGAAUCCAGGGCCGGUGCUUUAUCCACUGCGCCACCUAGCUGCCCCCUUGUUUUGAUUAUUCUAACUUGGUAUCGAUUUUGAGUUUUGCUCUAAUGAGUCAAUGAUUUGACUAAACAAACAGCUGAUUCAGAAAUGACACAUCACUAACUAGUCAUUUUCUCUAAGAUCCUGCAAAUCCUACUUGUGGCCAAGUUCUUCACAGCUGUAAAAGUCAUCUUUUCUUGGCUAUGGACGCAGAGUAAAUGAACCUUAUGGCCGUUAUGAGGCAAUUCAAGUCCCCAAGAAAUUGUUUAUGGAUAAAAAAGGAGUGUGAUCCCCAUAGAAUUUUCCUUCAUUCAUUGAGGUCACCUAACCUCUCUGGGCCUCAUUUUCCUCAUAAAGGGGUUUGGACAAGCUGGCCUGAGGUCCCUUCCUGUUGUAGAACUAUGAUCCUAUUUGGAAAAUACUAUUAGAUGCUACUAUGAUAUUGAAGCAAUUAGAAUGGUGCCAUUAUAUCUUCACUAUCUGCAGCAUCCAAUAUAUUCUCAGUAAAUGCUUGCAUUGAAAAAUGUAGUAUUUUCUAAAGUUCCAUGCUUAGAAACAAUGAUUUCUAAGGUUAAAAUGUUACAAAUUACUACCUUUAAAAGGAUGAUGCUUAAUAUUAAGUUAGUGAAGUCAGAGGAGGUCAUAGUGUAGAGAAGCAUCCUUCAAAGACAUUCACAAACAUCUGGUUAAGAUGUGACCAGGUAUAGUCUGAGGUGAACUGGUCUCUACAUCAAGACCCAUUAUGCACACAUUCUAUUGCAGAAGCCCUUCUGUCCAUAUAAGGAAGGCCUUGAAGAAUUAUUGUAGUCACAACAUCACAACUGAUGACUAUGGAAGGAGAUGGAGGUUGUGAGGAGCUAAGUUUCUGCAAUCUAAGAUUGUUAGCUGAGUGGAAUUGUAGUGCAUGAGUGGUUUC